rnacentral:rRNA from 1 species
CAGCAGUCGCCGCGGGAAUACGUAGGUGGCAAGCGUUGUCCGGAAUUAUUGGGCGUAAAGGGCUCGCAGACGGUUUCUUAAGUCUGAUGUGAAAGCCCCCGGCUCAACCGGGGAGGGUCAUUGGAAACUGGGAAACUUGAGUGCAGAAGAGGAGAGAGGAAUUCCACGUGUAGCGGUGAAAUGCGUAGAGAUGUGGAGGAACACCAGUGGCGAAGGCGACUCUCUGGUCUGUAACUGACGCUGAGGAGCGAAAGCGUGGGGAGCGAACAGGAUUAGAUACCCCCGUAGUCCCUGUCUCUUAUAC